rnacentral:rRNA from 1 species
UACGAAGGGUGCGAGCGUUGUUCGGAAUCACUGGGCGUAAAGAGUACGUAGGCGGUUUAACAAGUCAGGAGUGAAAUCCCCAGGCUCAACCUGGGAACUGCUCUUGAAACUGUUAGACUAGAAGCUCGGAGAGGUUGGCGGAAUUCUCAGUGUAGAGGUGAAAUUCGCAGAUAUUGAGAGGAACACCAGUGGCGUAAGCGGCCAACUGGACGAGUAUUGACGCUGAGGUACGAAAGCGUGGGGAGCAAACAGG